rnacentral:rRNA from 1 species
UGGGGAAUCUUAGACAAUGGGCGCAAGCCUGAUCUAGCCAUGCCGCGUGAGUGACGAAGGCCUUAGGGUCGUAAAGCUCUUUCGCCAGGGAUGAUAAUGACAGUACCUGGUAAAGAAACCCCGGCUAACUCCGUG